UGAAGACUUUGCCCACCGGGUUUAUUUUCUUCAGCAUUAGCUGCACUGGCUCUCUUUCUCUUUUCACGCCUCAACUGUGGUCAGAAGAAGAAGUGUGCCACAAGUAACAGUGCCACCAGCUUGGAAACCAUUCCAUUUUUCCAGGGGCAGCCAUCAGUGGAGCUGCAGAAAUGAACAAUAGCGUUCAGAAUAGGAUCAUUUUGUUUCUCCAUACAGUGUCAUGAAAACUUGGUAAAGGAGAUGAAAGUGGUACAACGUUGUCUGCAGUCUGACCCUUUGGGUUCUGAGAGCUGGAAUCCCAUCCAAUCUAACAAGCCAGAUAUACUCAGGCUCGGUCAAUACUUGGCUGAGAGAUCAUUUAGGAAAAAUCUUGCAGCAGCAGUGACAGUGACACUAAUAGCUUGACCAACACAUUCCUUUUAACAAGCAAACAGAUGGCUGGUGUUUAAAUCUCUACCCUCCUGUGUGCAGAAGGAUCAGAUUCAGUGCUGACACAAUGAGUUAUACCUUAUGUGGAGAGAUUCCAAUGGAAAGCUAUGGCAAAUGAGUGAGGUUUGCCCUUUGUUCUGAAUGUGGGCCUUGUGGUGCCAUGUCAAUGGUUACAGGAUGGAGCUCCAUGCUUGUAAGCUCACAAGUCUCACCCUUAUAGCAGCAGUCCCAUUUUUACAAAUGUGUGUUCACUGAAAUUAUUUGCCCAUAUGUUUCCGCAAAUGUAAAUCAGAUAUGGAUUGCUCAAGAAUUACGUGAAGCAACGGUUGUAUCUAGCAUGAGCUGUUCAUGGUGUGUGACUGGUGUAUUUGUUUUGCUCCCUGACUGGUGUCUCCCAAACCUACAAAGAGCUUUCAGGAUGGUUGCAUGAACCCUUCUGGCAUGAAUACUCAAAGGGAUAUGUUUACACAAAUUCA